GGGGAAAUGACGUAGUGUCACGAAUAGAUGAAAUAUAAACAUGACGUAUUAUUAUUAUUAGAUUUGGGUAGAUUUUUUAAUGUUUUUGUAGAUUUGUGAAGAUUUUGGUAUCUGGAGGCCCUGCUGGAUGAGUUUUGUUCCCUAGGCAUGGUGGAGAACAGUACUGACAAUGCACAACAAUAUACAAGAGAUGAUAGUCAAGGGCAAUCGUGUGAUGCAAGACACAUGUAUUCAGCUGGUUCAGUGCUGGUGGAAAGAAGAUGGAGUGGUUCUUGCUUAAACUGAGACUGAACCUUCAGUUGACCCUUCAGUUGACUCGAUAAUUAGAGCCAUAGUCACUGCCAUCACCCACAAAAAGGACAGAAGGGCAGGAGAUAGGAUU